rnacentral:rRNA from 1 species
GCUUUAAUUAACCGGCCCAAACUCAUGGACAUUAUCCACCUACAAGGCAUAACAUGCAACCAUUAUUAUGGGCUAGCAAUUUAGGUUGGGGUGACCUCGGAAUACAAAAAAACUCCCGAGUGAUUAAAAUUUAGACUCACUAGUCAAAAUAUAGUAUCACUUAUUGAUCCAAUAGUUUUGAUCAACGGAACAAGUUACC